UGGGGAAUAUUGCACAAUGGGCGAAAGCCUGAUGCAGCAACGCCGCGUGAGUGAUGAAGGCCUUCGGGUUGUAAAGCUCUGUCUUUUGGGACGAUAAUGACGGUACCAAAGGAGGAAGCCACGGCUAACUACGUGCCAGCAGCCGCGGUAAUACGUAGGUGGCAAGCGUUGUCCGGAUUUACUGGGCGUAAAGGAUGCGUAGGCGGAUUUUUAAGUGAGAUGUGAAAUACCCGGGCUUAACUUGGGUGCUGCAUUUCAAACUGGGAAUCUAGAGUGCGGGAGAGGAGAAUGGAAUUCCUAGUGUAGCGGUGAAAUGCGUAGAGAUUAGGAAGAACACCAGUGGCGAAGGCGAUUCUCUGGACCGUAACUGACGCUGAGGCAUGAAAGCGUGGGUAGCAAACAGGAUUAGAUACCCUGGUAGUCCACGCCGUAAACGAUGAGUACUAGGUGUAGGAGGUAUCGACCCCUUCUGUGCCGCAGUUAACACAAUCAAGUACUCCGCCUGGGGAAGUACGAUCGCAAGAUUAAAACUCAAAGGAAUUG
rnacentral:rRNA from 1 species